rnacentral:rRNA from 1 species
UACGUAGGGUGCAAGCGUUGUCCGGAAUUAUUGGGCGUAAAGAGCUCGUAGGCGGUUUGUUGCGUCGGCUGUGAAAUCCCGAGGCUCAACCUCGGGUCUGCAGUCGAUACGAGCAAACUAGAGUGUUGCAGGGGAGACUGGAAUUCCUGGUGUAGCGGUGAAAUGCGCAGAUAUCAGGAGGAACACCAAUUGCGAAGGCAGCUCGCUGGGACAUUACUGACGCUGAGACGCGAAAGCGUGGGGAGCAAACAGG